GUUGAGAUGGCCAUGAUACUCAGAGUGUCACCACAGAAUUCCAGAACGCUUCACCCCACACACAGUAACACCAUGUCACCUCAGAAGGCUGCCAGCAUCUGCCCUUCUUGUUCUCCAGCCCAGCCUUUUAUCCCCUCACGUUCAUGCCCUGCACCUGUGUGCCCUCUGUUCCCUGUGUGGUUGCCCAGCACACCUGGGCACGCCAUGGCUGUCAGUGCUGCUCACCUGUCCUGCACAGCUGCACCCACUGGGGACGGGGCUCAUCCCACUCCCAGCCACCACAGACUGUGUGCCUACAGCCUGGCACAAAACAAGAGCACUCUGAAAGCAGCUGGAUUUCCACAUCUCCUUCCACACACACCUUUCCUGCUCUGAACUAACCCUUCCCACAGUGGGGAGCACGAGGAGCUCAUUCCCAUUUCCAAAGCUUGUAGGAUCUGAACUUCUUCUGAAACUUAUCAAACAAGGGACUUCAACAGGUGGGACAAGCAAUUCCCAAGGCUCCAAAUGCUCCUGGGCUCUGGGUGGCCUCUGUGACCACCAGAAGAGAUACCAACUCCACGCAGUCCCAACCACCAUCAGGACUGGAGCCACCAGUUGUAUAGACUGAAAUGAUGGGUCCUUGACUUCUCCCUCCUGCAUCAGCUGCUCCUUGGAGGACCAUGAGAACUUGGUGGCUUCAGCUGGGUUCAUCUCACUGGUCAAGGAAGAGCCAGAGGUGUCACUGGGACUGGCUCGGUAGUGCUGGGAGGUAACACCAACCUGCAGAGAGGAGCAGUGUCCCUCCAGCUUCUCCUCCCAGGUGAAAACCAGGUGGGAUGAAACCCAUUUUCUGCAGCCUCUGGGACCAUCCCUGUCUGGUGUGUGGGCAGGGGACACGUGAGAGACAGAUUCCAUUUCUCUUCCUGUCCAAGGUCCCUCUGGGAAGACCAUUUUCUGUUUUCUUAAUAAAAGCAGAUAAAACAGAAGAGGAACAUCUGCGGCUUCAUUUUAGUCCUCAUUUUUCUUCCCCUGGAAUUAUACUUAAUAAGCAUUUCAUUUUCCACUUGCUAUCUUUUAUUUCAAAUUUUACUGUUCCUGAUCUGUCACUGUUGUUCAAAAGUCAAACUGUACCAAAAGCCCAAUAUUUUUCUGGGAAAUGAG